CGGGACACGUGGUAUCCUGUCUGAAUAUGGGGGGACCAUCCUCCAAGGCUAAAUACUCCUGACUGACCGAUAGUGAACCAGUACCGUGAGGGAAAGGCGAAAAGAACCCCGGCGAGGGGAGUGAAAAAGAACCUGAAACCGUGUACGUACAAGCAGUGGGAGCACGCUUAGGCGUGUGACUGCGUACCUUUUGUAUAAUGGGUCAGCGACUUAUAUUCUGUAGCAAGGUUAACCGAAUAGGGGAGCCGAAGGGAAACCGAGUCUUAACUGGGCGUUAAGUUGCAGGGUAUAGACCCGAAACCCGGUGAUCUAGCCAUGGGCAGGUUGAAGGUUGGGUAACACUAACUGGAGGACCGAACCGACUAAUGUUGAAAAAUUAGCGGAUGACUUGUGGCUGGGGGUGAAAGGCCAAUCAAACCGGGAGAUAGCUGGUUCUCCCCGAAAGCUAUUUAGGUAGCGCCUCGUGAAUUCAUCUCCGGGGGUAGAGCACUGUUUCGGCAAGGGGGUCAUCCCGACUUACCAACCCGAUGCAAACUGCGAAUACCGGAGAAUGUUAUCACGGGAGACACACGGCGGGUGCUAACGUCCGUCGUGAAGAGGGAAACAACCCAGACCGCCAGCUAAGGUCCCAAAGUCAUGGUUAAGUGGGAAACGAUGUGGGAAGGCCCAGACAGCCAGGAUGUUGGCUUAGAAGCAGCCAUCAUUUAAAGAAAGCGUAAUAGCUCACUGGUCGAGUCGGCCUGCGCGGAAGAUGUAACGGGGCUAAACCAUGCACCGAAGCUGCGGCAGCGACGCUGAUGCGUUGUUGGGUAGGGGAGCGUUCUGUAAGCCUGUGAAGGUGUGCUGUGAGGCAUGCUGGAGGUAUCAGAAGUGCGAAUGCUGACAUAAGUAACGAUAAAGCGGGUGAAAAGCCCGCUCGCCGGAAGACCAAGGGUUCCUGUCCAACGUUAAUCGGGGCAGGGUGAGUCGACCCCUAAGGCGAGGCCGAAAGGCGUAGUCGAUGGGAAACAGGUUAAUAUUCCUGUACUUGGUGUUACUGCGAAGGGGGGACGGAGAAGGCUAUGUUGGCCGGGCGACGGUUGUCCCGGUUUAAGCGUGUAGGCUGGUUUUCCAGGCAAAUCCGGAAAAUCAAGGCUGAGGCGUGAUGACGAGGCACUACGGUGCUGAAGCAACAAAUGCCCUGCUUCCAGGAAAAGCCUCUAAGCAUCAGGUAACAUCAAAUCGUACCCCAAACCGACACAGGUGGUCAGGUAGAGAAUACCAAGGCGCUUGAGAGAACUCGGGUGAAGGAACUAGGCAAAAUGGUGCCGUAACUUCGGGAGAAGGCACGCUGAUAUGUAGGUGAAGCGACUUGCUCGUGGAGCUGAAAUCAGUCGAAGAUACCAGCUGGCUGCAACUGUUUAUUAAAAACACAGCACUGUGCAAACACGAAAGUGGACGUAUACGGUGUGACGCCUGCCCGGUGCCGGAAGGUUAAUUGAUGGGGUCAGCGCAAGCGAAGCUCUUGAUCGAAGCCCCGGUAAACGGCGGCCGUAACUAUAACGGUCCUAAGGUAGCGAAAUUCCUUGUCGGGUAAGUUCCGACCUGCACGAAUGGCGUAAUGAUGGCCAGGCUGUCUCCACCCGAGACUCAGUGAAAUUGAACUCGCUGUGAAGAUGCAGUGUACCCGCGGCAAGACGGAAAGACCCCGUGAACCUUUACUAUAGCUUGACACUGAACAUUGAGCCUUGAUGUGUAGGAUAGGUGGGAGGCUUUGAAGUGUGGACGCCAGUCUGCAUGGAGCCGGCCUUGAAAUACCACCCUUUAAUGUUUGAUGUUCUAACGUUGACCCGUGAUCCGGGUUGCGGACAGUGUCUGGUGGGUAGUUUGACUGGGGCGGUCUCCUCCUAAAGAGUAACGGAGGAGCACGAAGGUUGGCUAAUCCUGGUCGGACAUCAGGAGGUUAGUGCAAUGGCAUAAGCCAGCUUGACUGCGAGCGUGACGGCGCGAGCAGGUGCGAAAGCAGGUCAUAGUGAUCCGGUGGUUCUGAAUGGAAGGGCCAUCGCUCAACGGAUAAAAGGUACUCCGGGGAUAACAGGCUGAUACCGCCCAAGAGUUCAUAUCGACGGCGGUGUUUGGCACCUCGAUGUCGGCUCAUCACAUCCUGGGGCUGAAGUAGGUCCCAAGGGUAUGGCUGUUCGCCAUUUAAAGUGGUACGCGAGCUGGGUUUAGAACGUCGUGAGACAGUUCGGUCCCUAUCUGCCGUGGGCGCUGGAGAACUGAGGG
rnacentral:rRNA from 1 species